UGGAGAGUUUGAUCCUGGCUCAGAGCGAACGCUGGCGGAAUGCUUAACACAUGCAAGUCGCACGGGCAGCAAUGUCAGUGGCGGACGGGUGAGUAACGCGUAGGAACGUGUCCGAGGGUGGGGGAUAACGCUGGGAAACUGGCGCUAAUACCGCAUAUCUCCUGAGGGAGAAAGCAGCGAUGCGCCCAUGGAGCGGCCUGCGUCCGAUUAGCUAGUUGGUGGGGUAAAGGCUUACCAAGGCGACGAUCGGUAGCUGGUCUGAGAGGAUGAUCAGCCACACUGGGACUGAGACACGGCCCAGACUCCUACGGGAGGCAGCAGUGGGGAAUAUUGGACAAUGGGCGCAAGCCUGAUCCAGCAAUUCCGCGUGGGUGAAGAAGGUCUUCGGAUUGUAAAGCCCUUUCGACAGGGACGAUGAUGACGGUACCUGUAGAAGAAGCCCCGGCUAACUUCGUGCCAGCAGCCGCGGUA
rnacentral:rRNA from 1 species